rnacentral:rRNA from 1 species
UGGGAAGUAUUGGACAAUGGGCGCAAGCCUGAUCCAGCCAUGCCGCGUGAGUGAUGAAGGCCUUAGGGUUGUAAAGCUCUUUUAUCCGGGACGAUAAUGACGGUACCGGAGGAAUAAGCCCCGGCUAGCUUCGUGCCAGCAGCCGCGGUAAUACGAAGGGGCGUAGCGUUGCUCGGAAUCACUGGGCGUAAAGGGCGCGUAGGCGGCGUUUUAAGUCGGGGUGAAAGCCUGUGGCUCAACCACAGAAUGGCCUUCGAUACUGGGACGCUUGAGUAUGGUAGAGGUUGGUGGAACUGCGAGUGUAGAGGUGAAAUUCGUAGAUAUUCGCAAGAACACCGGUGGCGAAGGCGGCCAACUGGACCAUUUACUGACGCUGAGGCGCGAAAGCGUGGGGAGCAAAACA